rnacentral:rRNA from 1 species
CCGAAGAACCUUUACCUGGUCUUGACAUAGUAAGAACUUUUCCAGAGAUGGAUUGGUGCCUUUCGGGAACUUACAUACAGGUGCUGCAUGGCUGUCGUCAGCUCGUGUCGUGAGAUUGUUGGGUUUAAGUCCCGCAACGAGCGCAACCCUUUUCCUUAUUUGCCAGCGGGUUAAGCCGGGAACUUUAAGGAUACUGCCAGUGACAAACUGGAGGAAGGCGGGGACGACGUCAAGUCAUCAUGGCCCUUACGACCAGGGCUACACACGUGCUACAAUGGUCGGUACAAAGGGUUGCUACCUCGCGAGAGGAUGCUAAUCUCAAAAAGCCGAUCGUAGUCCGGAUUGGAGUCUGCAACUCGACUCCAUGAAGUCGGAAUCGCUAGUAAUCGCGGAUCAGAAUGCCGCGGUGAAUACGUUCCCGGGCCUUGUACACACCGCCCGUCACACCAUGGGAGUUUGUUGCACCAGAAGUAGGUAGUCUAACCUUAGGGGGGACGCUUACCACGGUGUGGCAGAUGACUGGGGUGAAGUCGUAACAAGGUAGGCGUAGAUGA